AGAGUUUGAUCCUGGCUCAGGAUGAACGCUAGCGACAGGCUUAACACAUGCAAGUCGAGGGGCAGCGGGGAGGUAGCAAUACUUCCGCCGGCGACCGGCGCACGGGUGAGUAACACGUAUGGAACCUGCCCGUAGCAGGGGGAUAAGCGGAAGAAAUUCCGUCUAAUACCGCGUAAUAACUCCGAGAGGCAUCUCCUGGGGUUUAAAGGGUAACACCGGCUACGGAUGGCCAUGCGGCGCAUUAGCUAGUUGGCGGGGUAACGGCCCACCAAGGCGACGAUGCGUAGGGGUUCUGAGAGGAAGGUCCCCCACACUGGUACUGAGACACGGACCAGACUCCUACGGGAGGCAGCAGUGAGGAAUAUUGGUCAAUGGGCGCGAGCCUGAACCAGCCAAGUCGCGUGAGGGAAGACGGUCCUAUGGAUUGUAAACCUCUUUUGUCGGGGAGCAAAAGACGCCACGCGUGGCGUUCCGAGAGUACCCGAAGAAAAAGCAUCGGCUAACUCCGUGCCAGCAGCCGCGGUAAUACGGAGGAUGCGAGCGUUAUCCGGAUUUAUUGGGUUUAAAGGGUGCGCAGGCGGAAGAUCAAGUCAGCGGUAAAAUUGAGAGGCUCAACCUCUUCGAGCCGUUGAAACUGGUUUUCUUGAGUGAGCGAGAAGUAUGCGGAAUGCGUGGUGUAGCGGUGAAAUGCAUAGAUAUCACGCAGAACUCCGAUUGCGAAGGCAGCAUACCGGCGCUCAACUGACGCUCAUACACGAAAGUGUGGGUAUCGAACAGGAUUAGAUACCCUGGUAGUCCACACAGUAAACGAUGAAUACUAAUUGUUCGGGGGAAAAUGAUUCCCUGAGUGAUA
rnacentral:rRNA from 1 species